rnacentral:rRNA from 1 species
AUUGAACGCUGGCGGCAGGCCUAACACAUGCAAGUCGAGCGGAUGAAUGGAGCUUGCUCCUGGAUUCAGCGGCGGACGGGUGAGUAAUGCCUAGGAAUCUGCCUGGUAGUGGGGGAUAACGUCCGGAAACGGGCGCUAAUACCGCAUACGCCCUGAGGGAGAAAGUGGGGGAUCUUCGGACCUCACGCUAUCAGAUGAGCCUAGGUCGGAUUAGCUAGUUGGUGGGGUAAAGGCCUACCAAGGCGACGAUCCGUAACUGGUCUGAGAGGAUGAUCAGGCACACUGGAACUGAGACACGGUCCAGUCUCCUACGGGAGGCAGCAGUGGGGAAUAUUGUGCAAUGGGCGAAAGCCUGAUCCAGCCAUGCCGCGUGUGUGAAGAAGGUCUUCGGAUUGUAAAGCACUUUAAGUUGGGAGGAAGGGCAGUAAGUUAAUCCCUUGCUGUUUUGACGUUACCAACAGAAUAAGCACCGGCUAACUUCGUG